rnacentral:ncRNA from 1 species
AGCGUCGCGCAAGCGGGCCGAUAGUCGACUCCUGCGGUGUGAGGGGCUUUAGCCCGGUCCCGGAAAGCUGCAU